rnacentral:lncRNA from 1 species
CAACCUGAAUAACAAAAUUAGCUCUUAGAUGAAUGAAGGCCAUAGACUUGGAUUAGAGAUCUUAUAGAUCAAGGAUAGAGAUGUGGCUGCCUUCCAUGAGCCUCUACUCACUUAUAUAAGAGGGUUUUGGUUGCCUAAGCUCGUAUUCUUUAGUUUUUUUUCUUUUAAUAAAGGAAGAAGUCAUGCUAAAUUUUAGCUUCAAUCCUAAUUUUAAUCUUAUUUGGAUUCUAGAUCUUAUUGUACACCUUGUGAAUGUGCGGGGACACUGAUUUUGUAUGUGGGUAGUGCUUGUUGUGAUUAGAAGGUAUUCUAUUGGAAUUAGUGGUUCUAAAACACUUCAAUAGUCAAAGAGGUUUGAAGGGCCUCAAAUUUUCCUCAAUCUGUCUAUGGUU